GUGGAAAGGAUUGGAAACAGCAAAUUUGUCAAUGUUUUUCCUCACUGCCGAGUCGCUGCUGCUUUAGAUUAGCCCUGUCCCCUGCAAUUUGACAGUAGCGCCGUGAACCUGCAGCGUGAGGAUCCCGGGCUAAGAUAGGGAGAAAGGAGGAGGAAUUCAGGGAAUGUUUUCCCUCGGAGCAAGCGGGGAAGCGCAGCCGCUGGGACCCGGGCUGCGGUGACAGCGCUAACACUUCCCAGAGCCGGGGACCCCGCCGCUGGAAUGGCAUUGCCCACCCUGAAAGUGAGAAGGAAACAGGUUUCAGAUGUUUGGAGGUUCAAAAUCUGCCUCCCAGUUUACCAUCCAUUGACAGCCUUCAAAUCUUUUCUGGCUUUAGAACUGAGGGAUUGCUUAAUAUUCUUCGUUUUACAUCGUGCAAUCCUUUGCUCCUGGGAUUUGCUUCCUAAUUCCAAGGAAAGCUGCCUUGGGAAGAGCGAUCCAGUGUUCACCCCGUGGCGACUCACGGGCUGGUUGGGAUGAGCUCUCCAAGGAGGGCGUGUGAAGGAAGAGUUGGUGGCGUUUGCACGGGGAGUUUGGGGUCGGAUGAGCGUGGAAAGUGACACUUUUCACUUCCCAGCGCCUCGGAAUGAAUCUGCAUUUCCAGGUUUCCUCAGAUAAAAUAAUCAGCGUUUCCAGAUUCCCUUUCUGCUGUCAGCACCACGCACUUGGAACUCAAAUAAUCGCUGGUUUUCUAUCCUUUAUUUAACCUCCAUAGGAAAGCCUGAUCAUAUUCCACUAAUAUUCCCUAGGAAUUCCUCUCUGGCCGCUGCAGGUGAUGCCUGAGGCUCUGGGGAAGGAGGACUCUGCCUUGCCCAGGAUUUCUGCUGGUUUGGCACUGCAGCAGCCACAGUGUGGUUUUUCCCAGUAGUUAUUCCCAUUUCUCACAUGGAUGUUGUUCCAGUUUCUGCUCUGCUCAUUACUCCCAUUUCUCAUCUCAAAUAUGCACCAGAUUUUAGUGUCCUUUGAAGAGCCCAAACCCAGUUCAUGAAGUUCAACGAGCAUGAGGAUAAAAUUAAAUUAGUGAAGUGCUUGGUUAAAAAAAUAAUAAAAUUGACAGCUAAAUUCUUUCAGUUAAUUAUCUUCUCUUGCAGAUAAAUCCUGUAGGCUCCAGUAUAGAUUUAUCUUUAAAAAAUGCUGAAGGAUCAUUCUAAUAUUUUAUUGAAAUCUAUUAUUUUGAGGAUAUUGCUGGACUAUGCAUUUCUAAUUAAAAUAACAUUUUACUGGGGUGGGGAAAACCUGUGUAUAUCUGAGUGUUAAAGAGGAAGGUUUUGCUAUUCCUGCAAGGGAAAACUGAGCCCCAGAAAAUAUUUUUCCUUCUGAAUUAAAACAACAAUUUUUCUGAGUUACUUUGUACCCCCUAAUAAAUGACAGUUUUUCUUUCGAAGCCUUCCAGAAACAAAACCUGGCUUUUGACCUGGAAUGAAAAGACAGCGCUAAUCCAACGUUAAAAAUCGAUGCUAAGCUUACACAGAAUUAAAAAUAAAUUGAAAGAAAUUAAUUUUAUUUUUAGCAUUUUUGGCAACCUCAGAAUAUGCCCUGCCUCGGUUCUAUGAAAAGCUUUACACUGAAAAUACAGUUAUAAAUUUAUAAUACAAAAAUAUAAAAUAUUUUCUAGUGGCAUAAAUAGCAUUCAUUUUUUUUGGGGAUGAUAAUUUGGGUUCUUCAACGAUAAGGUGAAAAACACAACUAUAAAAAAUGUUUAACCUCCAUUUUAGGUUAAAUAUUGGCUGCUUUGCAUCAAGAAAAGUGCACCACAAGCACGAGACAGGCACCCAGUCUCUGAGCAAAAAAAACCCUCACUUAAUCUAAAAUAUAGAUAUGAGGAAUUUUAUUAAUUCUGUCAGUAAACUACCUGAUUCUUUUUAAAAUGUAAAACUCCAAAUUUUGCUAUCGAGCUCCAGAUAAAAAUCACACCCCUUUAUUUCUGGCACAUCUCCUGUAACAAAUGGGGGAGUUUGCUGAUGACCACAAAUAUAUUGGAAAAAUGUGUAAACCAAAGGCAGGGAUAUUUUCCAAGAGAAACACCUGGAAGGUGUAAAUCAAAACUCUUGUAAACACGUCAAUGGGAACAUACGACAGGCACAGGGCUCGCUGUGCAUCCAUGGAGCUUUGGAAACCCGAAUGGAUAAAUCAGGGAUCAACCUCGGGCUAAUAAACAGCUCUUGUAUGGAAAGGAGAGAUCCUCUGCCCCUGCCAGACAGCAAAAGAUGGAUUUGGUACCUUUGGAGAAAUCCAGGAGGUCAUUCACAAUAAUGGGAUUUUUAAAAUAAAAAUUGAUGCUCAAAGAAAUUUUGAAAGGCUCUGUGAUUUGUUCAAAUCAGCAGUGAAAUUAAUAACUUUAAUAACUUAUUAAUUUUCUUAGAAAUACUUGCCAAGCAUUUGUUUCCCCAAUUUAAGCUUCCUAAUUAUUGAUGUAAAUAAUAUGUAAAUGUAAAGAUCUUUUACACCUACAUGAUAUUUAACUUCUACAUUGCAUUUUACCUCUGCAUGAUAUUUUGCAUCGACAUUGUUUUAACAACUAAAUUGUAUUUUGCAUUUUUUAUCCAAAUUUUAUUUACUCCACAUUGUAUUUUCUAUCUACAUGAUAUCUGACAUAUAAUUUUGUUUUAUUAUAUAUUAGAACAUUUUAUUUUCCAUUUGCAUUAUAUUUCACAUCUACGUUUUACACCUAAACUGUAUUUUCUAUCUAUAUUGUCAUUUAUAUCUACAUCAUAUUUCACAUCUAUGCAAUAUUUUGCACCUACAUUAUAUUUAACAUUAUAUUCCACAUCUCCCUUGUAUCUCACACCUACAUUUUAUUUCUAAUCUACGUUAUAUUUUAAAUUUCCAUGACCAAAAGCUCAAAGGGACAGAGGAAGAAAUCUGGGGGAGCAGACUGCUGAAAAACCACUGUGCUAAAAAACCCCUAAAAAUCAGGAUUUUCCCUUAUGGACUGAAAGAAGCCCUAUUAAAAUCCUAUCUUCUGGAAAGCGUCAGAGAGGCAGGAGGUUGGUAAACAUUAUAAAAACAACCCCUCAUAAAAUUUUUAUUGCUUUACAUUUCUGUACAUUUUACGGCCAGCGCGGGGGGAAAGAAGCGACAGCGAUUUCUCCGCCUCGAGAGCAGGCAGGAACUUCUUUCCCCCCUCACUUUCUGCUCAUCCAAAUAAAUAAAAAUGCUGAAGCCUGUUCAUUUCUCAGGCAUUUGGGGGAAUGAUUCCACGCUCAGAAGGAGCCAAGGAAAAGCUGAAGGCUAAAUGAACCUCACGACUUUAAUCUGGGUGUUAUAAACAACUAUUGUCCUUUUUGGACACUGCAAUGUUUUUGCAACGUGAUUUAUUUCGUACCCACGUGUUUUCUAAUUUCCAAAAAAGCAGGGAAAACACUGUUAGAAUUAUUAACCCUUGGAAAAAUUAACUCUUGGUAAAAUUAUUAAGCCAGGGAUUUAAAAUUUCUCCCCAAAAUCCAGCGUAGAUGUCUGCUUCCUGAGGAAGUAUUUUUAGCUUCUGAAUGAAACAAGUCACGGACAAAAAAAAAAGGUAAUUGUGCUUGCAAGUAAGUAUUUAAAUAUUUACAUUUGAAAUAUAUUUGCUGCCAGCUUCUGUUAGCGAGAAGAAAAGUAAUUUGGGAAAUUACAACCCUUCCUAUUUCCCACAUUUUUUAGGAUAAUAAAUGCGGGGCUGAAUUUAGCAUGCCCUGGAGCUUGGCUGGCCGAAGUCGAAGGCAAAGAGGGAGCUCGGGAUAAUUCAUGGAGCAAAGAUGCUGCUGGGGAGGGGGACCUGCAGAGCUUGGGAGGUGCUGGGGAUGAAGAUGAGUUUCCCUUGGGCCGGGAAGCGCCUGGAUCGCCCGGAGCAGCUGUUCCCGGCAUGUGGAACCAGGCUGCGGCCACCGGCCGAGCUGAUUUCUCAUGUGCUGACCUCCAGAUAUGGUGGAUCUGCUCAUCCUCACAAGCUGGCAGGCUCAGGGCCUGAGUCAUGUUCCCCAAACCCUCCAGCACGUGGAGAUGACGCUCGGGGUCACGGAUGAGCUGCCUUUCCCUGUGUCCCAGCCUACACUCCAUGCGAAACCACGCUGGAAAAUCCAGGAUGCGUUGGGAUGAGUAAGAAGGGGGUGUCGUGAAGCCAAGGGGAGAUGAUUCCUGUAGAUGCCAGUCCUGGGUCAGGUCAUCACCCCCAGCACCUUCUGCAGGUGUUAGAGGUGGCCACCCCCCUGCACAUUUGCAUAAUUGUUAAUUAAUUUUUAUUGUUGCUAUUGUUUUCCUCUCGGCUUCCAGGGGUUUCCAAGGAAAAUUUCCACCUCCUGAGCAGAACGAGGAAGGAGCUCACUGUGGCCACACAAGAUCUGAAACCAAGGGGGUGUUUUGGGUCCUUCCUGGUGAGGAUCUUCACCUUUUUCAGAUGUCAAGAAGCCACCAAGGUGUCUUCCAAAGCAACGUAUCAGCGAGCUGAUCCCAGUUUGGGGAUUUGAUUCCCUCUUUCCUUGGGAUGCCUCAGUGAAUUCCUGCAGCCGAAAUCCGCACUAACCAAACAAUCCUGAUGACACACUUUGUGGUCACAUCUGCUCUCUCACCUUCCUCCUGUGACGAAAGGGAAAAACCCAAGAGCCCUCUGUGAUGACGCUCACUGCUGUUGAUUUAAUUGGGUUUGGGUAAAUCCGUUCUUCUGCAAAUGCUCACCGGGGCAAGCUGUUCCUCCUUCAGCUUGUGCAAAUAAAAUAAGGAUGCAAACACGAC